AAAAACAAAACCAGCAACCCUCUCAACACUCUCCCCCUCUCUCAUCCUCCGGUCAUGAGAGCCACCGCUCGCCCGCCAUGGCCGUCGACCGACGAAGGUGGUGACCGCCGUAUACGGUUGCCGGGGUCUCAAAAAGGGCCACCUUCGACUUCUUGCCACCUUUCAUCGGAGGUGGCUACCUCCGGCGCUCACGAAGGUGACACGCAGCCAUCAAGUACGCCUCCUUUUAAACUCUCUUUAUUUCCACAUUUUUUUGUUAAAAUAGGUUUGUAAAAAAUAACAAAAUAAAAAAAGAGGAAAACGAAACAAAAACAGUAAAAAAAAUUCAACCUUUCAAAAUUUCUCUGUUGUUUUUCGAUUUGCUAGUGUGUGUAAAAACUUUACAAAGAUAAGAUCUAGGCCUUUAUAGCCGGAUCCAACCAUUAAAAUUUUCCUUUAUCUGCCUAUAUUUACUGCCAUUACUGUUAGCAUGCUCUGCUGUUACAUUCAAUUUUUGCAGGGGUUUCGAGGCCGACGGUGGUGCAGAGGCAUGCGCGAGGAGGCAGGCGGCUCUCUGUGGCACCUAGGGUUUGAAAACUUUGUUUUGUUGCUAGGGUUUCUUUGGGUUUUUUGGCCAUAUUGGGCCAUUAUCAUUUUGGACUGUAAUGGAUUGUGAACUUUUUUAUAUUUUGGUUUUAUUUUGGGCUAUAUUGGGCUCCAGGCAGAAAUUAGGCCUUACAAUUAGAUUUUUA
rnacentral:lncRNA from 1 species